rnacentral:rRNA from 1 species
AUUGAACGCUGGCGGCAUGCCUUACACAUGCAAGUCGAACGGCAGCACGGGGCAACCUGGUGGCGAGUGGCGAACGGGUGAGUAAUGCAUCGGAACGUACCUUUCAGUGGGGGAUAACGUAGCGAAAGUUACGCUAAUACCGCAUAUUCUGUGAGCAGGAAAGCAGGGGAUCGCAAGGCCUUGCGCUGAUUGAGCGGCCGAUGUCAGAUUAGCUAGUUGGUGAGGUAAAGGCUCACCAAGGCGACGAUCUGUAGCGGGUCUGAGAGGAUGAUCCGCCACACUGGAACUGAGACACGGUCCAGACUCCUACGGGAGGCAGCAGUGGGGAAUUUUGGACAAUGGGGGCAACCCUGAUCCAGCCAUGCCGCGUGAGUGAAGAAGGCCUUCGGGUUGUAAAGCUCUUUCGGCCGGGAAGAAAUCGCACGGGCUAAUACCCUGUGUGGAUGACGGUACCGGAAUAAGAAGCACCGGCUAACUACGUGCCAGCCGCCGGGGUAA